UGGAAACUUUCAUCUCCCGCAUUAGCAGGUGGCUUCUUUACCAUUGAGCCACCAGGGAAGCCCUAAAUGUAGUUAUUUACAUUUAAAUUUUAAUCAAAAUUCAAAUUUUUUGUGUUUGUUUCUUGCUGCUAGUCCGUUGCAGCAAUCACAUUUCACGCUGUACACCAAUAUGUAGCUAGUACCAUACUGGACAGUAUAUCAGACAUUUCCUUCAUCACAGGAAGUUCUGUUGGACAGCAGUGCCUAGAGGCCAGGAUUUUGGUGAGGAGGUGAACCCAGAUAUUUCACCUUUUCCAAAUUCUUGUCAGACUCUCAUCUGUCCUCUGGCAAGUGAGGAACUGAUCAUUAAACCUCAGCCAUUGAGUCCUUGUGAGAGUCAAGCUGGAAUAACCCACAGAAUGUGUUGGUUGCCAUGCCCUGCACAUAGUAAAUGUGCAAAAAGUCUUAACCAGUAUUAAUAUUUCACAGUUUUAAAAGUUUUGUUAUAAAAAAAACAAAUAAAUAAAAGUUUUGUUAUUAGUCAAGUAACCUUUUGCUGAUGUGGUCAGCUACUCUGGUCCCUCAGUGACCAUCUAUAGCUGUGCUCCAGCCCCCUCCGGUAGCUUCUUCCUCUCCUUUGUGAGCUGGGCACUAUCUUUGCUGUUUUGGCCUGGAGAUACAGCCUACUUGGUCAAAUCCCUACCAUUUGUGCCCAAUAAAUAACAAAUGUGUGAACUAAAGUCACAUUGUACCAUGGUUCAGGGGAAUCGAUUGUCAAAUGAGAUUCUCAGAAGCAUGACACCUUAGGGUACAUCCAUUAGAGAAGGAAUUGUUUGUUCCUGUUAUGUGGUCAAACAAGGAUGUGUGGACUCAGCAGAGAGAAACGAGAACAUUGGCUGCAGAUAAGUAAUAUCUGGGGUGUCCACGUCAAGCUGGAAGCUACCAGGAGGUUGGAGGUGGAGGUGGAUGGAAACAUGAAGCUUUUACCUAAAUAGAAUUUGAAAGUUUAUUUCCAUGGCUAAUAAGGAAUCCAAGGAUAAACUGUAAACAGCAUAAAAAAGAUGCAAGUAUUUUAUGCCGUCAGGUAUGCGAAUGAGGGCAGUGCACAGAAUGGGAAAUCGUGAAAUUCUCCGCAGAACACCAGGAAACAGCUUUCUGAAUAACCGUCUUCUCAAAUUCUUUCUCUUUGACUUCUUUAAUAAGAUCACAUGCUGUGGGCACCUUUCAGAUUCCACUUUGUGUAUUGUCUUCCUUGGUUCCUGUUCCAUCACAUCACUUCUUCUGAAAGUUUUAGAAUUCAGCAUCUAUUUCUCUGCUUUUCUUUCUUCACCCAAAUCCUUACCGCUGCCUUGUCAUGACAGUGACUGAACAUCUGCCUGUCAGAGGCUGUGCAUUCCCAGUUCUGACCUCUCUCUGAACCCCCAGGCCCCCAGUGGAUAUUGUCACUUAAAUCUUCCCCACCGCAUCACUUCAAAUGUUAACUUAUCAAGAACUUGCUAGCUGGGUGACCUUGGGUAAGCUGAAUAUCACAACUUCCAUUUCUUCAUUUAUGAAACAGCAAAAUAGCACCUUCCUUCUAGGACUAUCUCGAAGGUUAAAUCAGACAUAUAUAAAAAAAUAAAAAGAAAAAAAAAGAGAUAUAUGUGUGAGUGCCUAGCACAGCAGCUAACGUAUUGUUGUUUUUGUUGUUUUAGACCCAAAAUCAUGUACGACUCUUUGUGACCCCAGGGACCUUAGCCCACCAGGCUUCUCUGUCCAUGGGACUUCCCAGGCAAGAAUACUGGAAUGGGUUGCCAUUUCCUUUCUCAAGGGGUCUUCCUGUGUUGGCAGGCGGUUUCUUUACCACUGAGCCACCUAGGAAGCCAGCUAAUGCAUAGUAAGUACUUAAUCCAUGUUAGCAGAAUGAUUCUCAGUAGCCAAGAUAUGGAAACAAACUUUGUGUCUGCUGAUGGAUUAAUGGAUAAAGAAAAUAUGAUAUAUAUAUGUAUAUUAUUGUCAUAAUAAAGAAGAUCCUGCCACUUGCAACUGUAUGGUUGAAUCUGGAAGACAAUUUGCUAUAUGAGUAAGCCAGACACAGAAAGACAAAUACUGUAUAAUCUCACUUACAUGUGGAGUCUAAAAAAUUUAAGUUCAUAGAAGCAGAGAAUAGAACAGUGGUUGCCAAGGCCUGGGUGCCAUGGGAAGUGGGGAGAUAUUGGCCAAAUGGUAUAAACUUUUAGUUAUAAGAUGAGUGAAUUCUGGGGAUCUAAUGUACAGCGUGGUGAUUAUAGUUAACAAUACUGUAUUUUAUAGUGAAAUUUGCAAAGUGAGUAGAUUGUAAAUGUUUUGACCACACACACCAAAAAAGAUAAUUGUGUUAUAUGUUAGUGGUUUUAGUUAGCUUGAUUGUGGUAAUCGUUUCACAAUGCAUACAUAUAUCAAAUCAUCAUGUUGUACACUUUAAAUAUGUUUAAUUUUUACUUGUCAAUUAUACCUCAAUAAGUUGAGGGGGGGAAUUAAAAAUAAAUGCUAGCUGAAAAUACACCAAAUACAAACACUCCUCCUCCCUUGACCGCAUAGAAUGUCAACUGUUUGAUGGCAGGAGACUUCCCUGUCUCAUUCACUAUUCCCCUCCGACACUGACAGAGCAGGAACUUCAGUAAAUCUUUUGGAAUGAGUAAAUGUUAGUUAUGCCUCACCUUUGUGGUCACCUCUGUGAUUCUUCCUCUUCUAGAUUCAUUCGAUUAGUACUUAUAACAUUUACCCUGAACUAAGUCACCAACCAUGGGCAGGACCAUGACAGCCCCACAUCUCACCCAGUGCUGCAACUUGCUCCCUGCCUCAGGGCUGAUGUGCGGCUUGAGAGUUCCCUGACCCAGCUCGGAUGUCUUCUGAGCACACCUGAGAUAAGAAAAUUUACAUGGAGAUUGGGAACGAGAGAGAGAAGCUGCUGGUUUUUUCACUCGACUAGAUGUGAGCUGAGCCAAGUCAGCCUAGCUGAACAGUUAUGGAGGGCCUUCUGCAUGCCAGGAACUGAGCUGGGAUCAUGACCAUGAACAAUGUAGACACCCACUCUGCCUUCACAGAAUCUGGAGAUGGUCAACGGGAGGUGAGCACGACUUCGCAAAACCAGAUGGUGACAUCAGUCAGUACUUGGCUGUCCUCUUGAAAUGUCAGUUUGGCACAAGAAUUAGCCGUGUAGUGAACAAUAAAAAAAAAAAUGAUAGCA